rnacentral:rRNA from 1 species
CUGGGAAACUUGAGUGCAGAAGAGGAGAGUGGAAUUCCACGUGUAGCGGUGAAAUGCUAAGAGAUGUGGAGGAACACCAGUGGCGAAGGCGACUCUCUGGUCUGUAACUGACGCUGAGGAGCGAAAGCGUGGGGAGCGAACAGGAUUAGAUACCCUGGUAGUCCACGCCGUAAACGAUGAGUGCUAAGUGUUAGGGGGUUUCCGCCCCUUAGUGCUGCAGCUAACGCAUUAAGCACUCCGCCUGGGGAGUACGGUCGCAAGACUGAAACUCAAAGGAAUUGACGGGGGCCCGCACAAGCGGUGGAGCAUGUGGUUUAAUUCGAAGCAACGCGAAGAACCUUACCAGGUCUUGACAUCCUCUGACAACCCUAGAGAUAGGGCUUUCCCUUCGGGGACAGAGUGACAGGUGGUGCAUGGUUGUCGUCAGCUCGUGUCGUGAGAUGUUGGGUUAAGUCCCGCAACGAGCGCAACCCUUGAUCUUAGUUGCCAGCAUUCAGUUGGGCACUCUAAGGUGACUGCCGGUGACAAACCGGAGGAAGGUGGGGAUGACGUCAAAUCAUCAUGCCCCUUAUGACCUGGGCUACACACGUGCUACAAUGGACAGAACAAAGGGCUGCAAGACCGCAAGGUUUAGCCAAUCCCAUAAAUCUGUUCUCAGUUCGGAUCGCAGUCUGCAACUCGACUGCGUGAAGCUGGAAUCGCUAGUAAUCGCGGAUCACAUG